rnacentral:rRNA from 1 species
GUUGAACGCUGGCGGCAUGCCUUACACAUGCAAGUCGAACGGUAACAGGUCUUCGGAUGCUGACGAGUGGCGAACGGGUGAGUAAUACAUCGGAACGUGCCUAGUAGUGGGGGAUAACUACUCGAAAGAGUGGCUAAUACCGCAUGAGAUCUACGGAUGAAAGCAGGGGAUCGCAAGACCUUGUGCUACUAGAGCGGCCGAUGGCAGAUUAGGUAGUUGGUGGGAUAAAAGCUUACCAAGCCGACGAUCUGUAGCUGGUCUGAGAGGACGAUCAGCCACACUGGGACUGAGACACGGCCCAGACUCCUACGGGAGGCAGCAGUGGGGAAUUUUGGACAAUGGGCGCAAGCCUGAUCCAGAAAUGCCGCGUGCAGGAUGAAGGCCUUCGGGUUGUAAACUGCUUUUGUACGGAACGAAAAGCCCCGGGUUAAUACCCUGGGGUCAUGACGGUACCGUAAGAAUAAGCACCGGCUAACUACGUGCCAGCCGCCGCCGUAA